CUACAUGCGGCUAAUGGCUAACAUGAUGGACAGCAGAGCUCUGGGGGAACUCAUUGACCCUAAAAUCACCACCUCCAUUGGCUGAUUUUGAAGCUGAGACAUGUUGUUGUGCUUUACCUAAAACCUCAUCUUGGCCUCUAAUUCAUAAUUACUCACCUAAUUAUUUACCCAGGUAAGGAGACAAUUCAUUUCAAGAGCAUACUGGUAAAUGUAAAAAUAUGGCUGCCAUGCGUGCUACAGGGGGAAAGUAUGUUGAGAGAGGUACGUAAAAACAGGAACUCUCCACACCCAGGAACUCUGUUUACACCCAGACCAUUGCCUAAGACUGUCCGCUGAUCAAUCUGCCCGUUUACUCGUUUGAAUGACUUCCUGAAGCUCGGGGGAAUAAGCCUUGCUUCUUAGGCCUAGGCGCUUGCCUGGCCUGUGCACUCAGCUCUGCAUCUGCUCAAAGUUCUGGCAUCUUCACUCUGACCUGCCCCUCGUUUUCGGUCCCUGAGUCCCAUUCUCACCCCCAUAGUCAGUGACCUCAACUGGUAUCAUCCUCCAACACUAGGGACUUGCCUUCCCCUCCUCCAGGUCUGAUGACCUUCUCCAAACCUAGGCCUAGAGGUUAAUGACAGGCCCUUGAGCUACCCUCGGCCACUUGGCUGUAUCCAACCAGGAAACUGGCUGGCCCCUCAACUGUACCACACCUGUCUCCUUCCCCUUCGCCCUGUGCUACCACCUACCAACAGAGCUCCAGCUCCAUCCUUCGGUGCUACAGGCCUCACCACCAGUUAUUGGUUUGAACACCCUACACCCAGCUAGUAACCACCCUGAGGUGCCCAAGACCACAGGCCAAGACCUAUUUCCAACCAGAUGGUGGGUUGGAAGCCAUGAUGGAGAAGUCACUUCUUGUUCUAAAGAAGAAGGGCACCUACAGGCCAAAGUGUGCAGCUCUAGCCAAGACCUGCCCCGUGGGCAUAGAAAGCCACCUGCACAACCCUGUGAGUUGUUCACAAAGUCCCUGCUGUGUAGAGGAAAGGCAAAGGCAACCCUCACACUUCCCCUGCUCAGCAGCCAGCAAACUUUUUUCUGCAAAGGGUCAAAGAGUAUUUUAGGUUUGGGAGCCAUGAGGUAAAACAGGGCACCUAUUGUCACUUGGAAGUGUUUUUUGCAUUUCAAAAAAAAUUGUAACGUGAAAACUAUGCUUACUAGUGGGCUGGAUCUGACCUGCAGGCUAUAAUGUGCCUGCCUUGGUCUUGUUGAAGAGGCAAGCAUUCAUCUAGGAGGCUAUUCAAAACAAUUAGAGAGCUCAAGGUAAACCAGAGACAAGAGUUAGAGACAGUCUUUAAUCAAACCCCUGAUCUCAAAAGGGAGCCAGUAAAAAAAGACAUUAUUAAGAUUUCCAUGCUUU